rnacentral:rRNA from 1 species
GUGGGGAAUAUUGGACAAUGGGCGAAAGCCUGAUCCAGCCAUGCCGCGUGUGUGAAGAAGGUCUUCGGAUUGUAAAGCACUUUAAGUUGGGAGGAAGGGCAGUAAGCGAAUACCUUGCUGUUUUGACGUUACCGACAGAAUAAGCACCGGCUAACUCUGUGCCAGCAGCCGCGGUAAUACAGAGGGUGCAAGCGUUAAUCGGAAUUACUGGGCGUAAAGCGCGCGUAGGUGGUUCGUUAAGUUGGAUGUGAAAUCCCCGGGCUCAACCUGGGAACUGCAUCCAAAACUGGCGAGCUAGAGUAGGGCAGAGGGUGGUGGAAUUUCCUGUGUAGCGGUGAAAUGCGUAGAUAUAGGAAGGAACACCAGUGGCGAAGGCGACCACCUGGGCUCAUACUGACACUGAGGUGCGAAAGCGUGGGGAGCAAACAGGAUUAGAAACCCCAGUAGUCC